rnacentral:rRNA from 1 species
UACGGGAGGGAGGAGUGGGGAAUAUUGGGCAAUGGGCGAAAGCCUGACGCAGCGACGCCGCGUGAAGGAAGAAGGUCUUCGGAUUGUGAACUUCUUUUAUGAGGGACGAAGGACGUGACGGUACCUCAUGAAUAAGCCACGGCUAACUACGUGCCAGCAGCCGCGGUAAU